GACAGAGGGUGCAAACGUUGUUCGGAAUUACUGGGCGUAAAGCGUGUGUAGGCGGUCUCAUAAGUCGGAUGUGAAAGCCCCGGGCUCAACCCGGGAAGUGCAUUCGAAACUGCGAGGCUAGGGUAUCGGAGAGGUUGGUGGAAUUCCAGGUGUAGCGGUGAAAUGCGUAGAUAUCUGGAGGAACACCGGUGGCGAAGGCGGCAUCCUGGACCAACACUGACACUGAGGAGCGAAAGCCAGGGGAGCAAACGGG
rnacentral:rRNA from 1 species